AUAUAUGGAGUAUAAAAGCUAAAAAUUCUAAGGCGUCAAUCAAAAGAAAUAGCACAUAAGGGGAAUAAACAAACAUACAAAGGCUGCACAUAAAACCCAUUAAGCGAUACAACAAUUAGUUUAGCAUAACUUACAAUUAAUGAUUUGGUCUUAUGAUUAAAACUGACAGUGGAAAGAUUAGUUUAACACAUAGAGUUGGAUAAUAAGUCUACUUUGAGCCCCUCGGGUCCAGUUUUUUAGAAAUCAAAGUAUUUUAGGCAGAUGAAUUAGAAAAUACUGAUUUUAGAAAAGGUAGUCAGACGCAGAAGAACUUUAAAGGAAAGAUUGCAGUAAGUUUAUCAGCCGGUUUUGAAAGCAUCAGAUGGUUUGAGUGAAAAAAUGCAGACGCGUUAUGCAAGAGUUUCAAAGACGAGAGUAU
rnacentral:lncRNA from 1 species